GUGCAGCAGGCGCGAAUCCUCCGCAAUGCGGGAAACCGUGACGGGGUCACCCCGAGUGCCACCCGAUGAGGGUGGCUUUUCCCCGGUCUAAAAAGCCGGGGGCAAUAAGCGGGGGGCAAGUCUGGUGUCAGCCGCCGCGGUAAUACCAGCCCCGCGAGUGGUCGGGACGUUUAUUGGGCCUAAAGCGUCCGUAGCCGGCUCGGUAAGUCCCUCCUUAAAUCCACGGGCUCAACCCGUGGGCUGGGAGGGAUACUGCCGGGCUAGGGGGCGGGAGAGGCCGAGGGUACUCCCGGGGUAGGGGCGAAAUCCGUUAAUCCCGGGAGGACCACCAGUGGCGAAGGCGCUCGGCUGGAACGCGCCCGACGGUGAGGGACGAAAGCUGGGGGAGCAAAGGGGAUUAGAUACCCCCGUAGU
rnacentral:rRNA from 1 species